UGGCUCAGGAUGAACGCUAGCGGCAGGCUUAACACAUGCAAGUCGAGGGGUAACGAUGGUGCUUGCACCAGGCGACGACCGGCGGACGGGUGAGUAACGCGUAUGCAACCUACCUAUUGCAGGAAGAUAGCCCGAGGAAACUCGGAUUAAUAUUCCAUAAUAUCAUUUUUACACAUGUAUUAAUGAUUAAAGCUACGGCGGCAAUAGAUGGGCAUGCGUACCAUUAGCUAGUUGGUGAGGUAACGGCUCACCAAGGUUACGAUGGUUAGGGGGCCUUAAAGGAUGAUCCCCCACACUGGUACUGAGACACGGACCAGACUCCUACGGGAGGCAGCAGUGAGGAAUAUUGGGCAAUGGACGCAAGUCUGACCCAGCCAUGCCGCGUGCAGGAUGACUGCUCUAGUAGUUGUAAACUGCUUUUCUAUUUCAUGAACCCCUCUGACGUGUCAGGGGCUGACAGUAGAAUAGGAAUAAGCAUCGGCUAACUCCGUGCCAGCAGCCGCGGUAAUACGGAGGAUGCAAGCGUUAUCCGGAUUUACUAGGUUUAAAGGGUGCGUAGGCGGGGUAUCAAGUCAGUGGUGAAAUCCUGCAGCUCAACUGUAGAACUGCCAUUGAAACUGAUAUUCUUGAGUAUAGUUGAGGUAGGCGGAAUGUGUUAAGUAGCGGUGAAAUGCAUAGAGAUAACACAGAACACCGAUUGCGAAGGCAGCUUACUAAACUAUUACUGACGCUGAGGUACGAAAGCGUGGGGAGCGAACAGGAUUAGAU
rnacentral:rRNA from 1 species